rnacentral:rRNA from 1 species
UUUUAUGGAGAGUUUGAUCCUGGCUCAGGAUGAACGCUGGCGGCGUGCCUAAUACAUGCAAGUCGAGCGAACAGACGAGGAGCUUGCUCCUCUGACGUUAGCGGCGGACGGGUGAGUAACACGUGGAUAACCUACCUAUAAGACUGGGAUAACUUCGGGAAACCGGAGCUAAUACCGGAUAAUAUAUUGAACCGCAUGGUUCAAUAGUGAAAGACGGUUUUGCU